UGAUGUUUUACUUUAAAAUGCAGAUCAAACAUAGUAAACUGAGUCAAGUGAUAUGUUUCUCUUUAAUCCACAUGAUCUAAUGGAACCAGUCUUAUAAUACUCUUGAAACCAGCCUUAUAUACUCUUGAAAGUAUACCUUUCAAUCAGGUUGACAUACAAUGCUUUGUGUUAAUACUAACACAUGGGAGAGGGUACAAGGAGGGAAGGCUCUUGGGAUGAGAAGGAGCAUUGUAUGUUUGAUAUGAUACAGUGGUCAGUUUUUUUGCUUCGCUGGGGUGAUACUGCAUACCCCCCAUGAUGUUAUGCUCAUUACUAAAGGAGUCACUCCUGCAUUGUAGGAUCUUUUCGGAUGUGUCAAGUCGAUACUGCAGCUCUCUUGACCUUCCCUUCCAUUUUCUGGGCAGGCAACAGCAUCGUAUCUGUUUGUCCUCAUGAGGAACAAGGCAAGAUAAAGAAGAUGCAGAAAGGGACACAGCAAGAUGCAGAGAGAUGUCUGGCCUAACACCUGAAUCCACCCCAUACAGAAAUAUGAAAACAUGAGGCAUGCUGACUUCAGCUCCCAUGAAGUAUUAU
rnacentral:lncRNA from 1 species